GAUGAACGCUGGCGGCGUGCCUAAUACAUGCAAGUCGAGCGAAUGGAUUAAGAGCUUGCUCUUAUGAAGUUAGCGGCGGACGGGUGAGUAACACGUGGGUAACCUGCCCAUAAGACUGGGAUAACUCCGGGAAACCGGGGCUAAUACCGGAUAAUAUUUUGAACUGCAUGGUUCAAAAUUGAAAGGCGGCUUCGGCUGUCACUUAUGGAUGGACCCGCGUCGCAUUAGCUAGUUGGUGAGGUAACGGCCCACCAAGGCAACGAUGCGUAGCCGACCGGAGAGGGUGAUCGGCCACACUGGGACUGAGACACGGCCCAGACUCCUACGGGAGGCAGCAGUAGGGAAUCUUCCGCAAUGGACGAAAGUCUGACGGAGCAACGCCGCGUGAGUGAUGAAGGCUUUCGGGUCGUAAAACUCUGUUGUUAGGGAAGAACAAGUGCUAGUUGAAUAAGCUGGCACCUUGACGGUACCUAACCAGAAAGCCACGGCUAACUACGUGCCAGCCGCCGCCGUAA
rnacentral:rRNA from 1 species